rnacentral:rRNA from 1 species
AGAGUUUGAUCAUGGCUCAGAGUGAACGCUGGCGGCGUGCCUAACACAUGCAAGUCGAACGAGAACGGAUAUAAGUUUACUUAUAUUGUCAGCUAAGUGGCGCACGGGUGAGUAAUAUAUAGUUAAUCUGCCCUGAAGAAGAGAAUAAUUGUUGGAAACGACUUGUAAUGCUCUAUAUGCCUUUAUCACAUAAGUGAGCAAGGGAAAUAUUUAUAGCUUCGGGAUGAGACUGUACGGUAUCAGCUAGUUGGUGAGGUAAUGGCUCACCAAGGCUAUGACAUCUAACUGGUUUGAGAGGAUGAUCAGUCACACUGGAACUGAGACACGGUCCAGACUCCUACGGGAGCCAGCAGUGGGGAAUAUUGCACAAUGGAGGAAACUCUGAUGCAGCAACGCCGCGUGGAGGAUGACACAUUUCGGUGCGUAAACUCCUUUUAUUAGGGAAGAUAAUGACGGUACCUAAUGAAUAAGCACCGGCUAACUCCGUGCCAGCAGCCGCGGUGAUACGGGGGGUGCAAGCGUUACUCGGAAUCACUGGGCGUAAAGAGCAUGUAGGCUGAUUAGUAAGUUGGAAGUGAAAUCCUAUGGCUCAA